CUUGACCGACCCGAGCCACAGCGGCUCCUCCCGGCCCUGCCCGUACGUGGCCAGGACGGCCUGCGCCUC
rnacentral:antisense_RNA from 1 species